GAUUUGGUUGGGAUUAACCAAAUAUUUUGCACGUCUGUAGACUCAAGUCACUUUCGAACUUGGGUUUUGUUAGGUAUUUGACUAAGAGAUUCACCAGCAUAAACACAAACAAUAUAACAUUAUAGUUCUCAACGAUGUUUAUUAUAGAAACUUGUUUAACAAGUUUUAGUAUUACAAAUUUUAUUUAUUAAAUUUAUUUAUAACAAUAGAUCAUCUCAAAUUUAACUCAUUGAUUUCUUAAUUGAAGCUGCCAAUCCAUCAUAAGCAACUUCCCAAGCAGUACUUAGUUCUUCGCUCCAGUUGCCCCCUGCUGCUUCCUUUAUCGUUUUCAACAAAGCUUCUUUUACCACCUACAAAGCACCAAAAACAUGGGUUAGUGAUUUAACUCUCAUAAAAUAGGUAUGUUAACAAGAGUGAAAAAUAUUUAUCGUAAAGUAAUUGAUUUUCAAAAUAAAACCAAGAAUAUGUUCUUAUUUUUUUUUAUCCUUGCAUCCAUAUUAUUUAACUAGACAAUAUUCAUAAAAAAAAUUAACAGGGCACAGUCAAAUAAAAGCAAUUUAGACUGCAUCCACAAAAAUAUUAUAUUAUGUUAUCAUACCACAAAAUGAGGAUCAACCACUCCUUUCUGGAUGUGGAUAGCACCCAAUGUAGCAUCUCCCAAAAUCACUUCUCCAGUUGCUCGGAGUUGAACAGCUGAGUCGCGCACCUUUAAUUCAAAAAGUAUAAAUAUCUUGAGAUUGAUAACCAUGUUAAGAAAAACUGAUACAAAAUAUUCUACUAGUAUUUGAUACUAUUCUUUGGCAUAAAUCCCCUCAGCCCUCUGGAAAUUUACUUUGAGGUAACAUAUUUUUUUUUAUGUGACACCAAAGAUUCAUAGGUAGCAUGAAUUUUAUUUAAUUUAUUUAAUAAAAAAAAUCAAAAAUCAAGCAUUUGAUAGGGAAUGGAAUCCCUGAUUAGAGUUUCAAACUUGUGAGUUGUGAAUUUUGAGUUUUUUAUAUUGUAUUCAAGAUACAUGAGUUUUCUAAUUUGAACUAUUUUUUUGAGAGAAUCUAAUUUGAACUAUUGGAAUAUGGGGAACCAACAUUUUAAAAUUGUGAUAGUUAGGACACUAAAGGUGAAAUGAAUCAUAUAUAUAUAUAUAUAUAUAUAUAUAUAUAUAUAUAACAUGUAUGAAAGAUAUAUAAUUACAAUAAUACACCAAAGUAACGUUACUUAAAUUAUAUACAAUGUCAUAUUCCUUAAAAACAAAUCUUAAAAACAAUUGUACUAGUAAAAUCUCUUUAUAUUAUUAUUUGGAUAUUAUUAAUAAAAAAUAAAUUAAACAAUAAAAUAUUUUAUUUUAAAAUAUUUUAUAAUUAUCAAUUUAAAUAGAGUCAUCGACAAUAAAUGAAAAAUGAUUAAAAGAAAUAAAAGAAAAUUAAUUGAUAUUGGAUCAUACUUACCAUUUCAAAAACUUUUGCAGCAUGAGCUUGAAGUUGAGGACUAUCUUGUACUCCAGUUGUAUCUUUAAGAAAAGAGAACAUGCCUUUUGCUGCAGGUGCUUUCUCUAAUAUACUAUUUUUAUCAAAACAACCAAGCAUAUUCUUGCUAAUUAAUUUACUUUAUCUCUUUUAUACUGACAAUCAACAAAAAUGGAAAACAUAAUCAAACAUUCAUGAGAAAUAAAACUUACAUAGUAUAGAACAAAACACUAUAGCCAGAGAGAUUUUGUUUGAAUGAUUCCCAUGAACUAUUCACUAAAGACUCUUGCUUCUCGGUGAAACCCAUAUUUCCCUUCUUCUUUUUUAAUUUUAAUUUUUUUUGUAUUUUUU
rnacentral:lncRNA from 1 species